UUUUUUUUCCUUUCCUCUUCUAAUAUUUUUUUCCCUUUUCCCUCUCUUUUCUAAUCUUUUUUGUUUUGUUUCAUAUAAUUUUAGAUCCCAUUCAAAAAUUAAAAAAAUAAAUUUAAAAAUUAAAUUUUAACCAGUUUCGGUGCUAUUUACUAUAUAGUUUAAAAUUUUUAAAAUUUAUAUAAAUUUUUCACUGCGUAGCGCUGGCCUUCACUAGUAAUCCUAAUGAUGCAUUUGAGAGAGAAGUGCGAUCAUCAUCAUCCAAUCACAAGUUUCAGUCAUAUCAGGUAAAUAUCUUGCCUAUACACUCAAUGUCGUAUGUUUCCAAGCUAUCAUAUGUUUAAGACAUAUUUUUAAGGACGGGAAGCAUUACUCUCAUAUGUGUGUGUGUGUAUAUAUAUCGGUCAAUAUUUGCUGCUAUAUGUAAACGACCAAUCUUGAUUCGACACUAAACCUUUCAUGAGCUUGGAUCAUUUCUAGUACUUAUCAGUUUUGUUUGCUUAAAUAGAACUUCUGAAAAAACAGUUAGAAGGUUUUUAUUAAACUAUUUCCUAUACCUUUUGUUGAAGUAAUAAUAAAAAUUAAGCUAUAAACUCACUAAUCUGCUUUGAGCUAUUUCAGUUUCAUAUGCAGUAAAAACUGUAAACAUUCCUUUUUGAUGAGAAGGACAAUUUGAAUGUUUGAAACUCAUUUAUAGCAUAAUAUAGCAAGUUUAACUUGUUUAUCCAAGCAUAAUAAUCGCAUUCUAAUGCAGAUUUCCUAUGUUCUAUACAUAUGUGUCAAUGAUUAGGAUAAAGAAUAAUAUGUCAUUCUUGCUAAUUUGAGCAUAGUACACUUACUCGUAACUUGUCUACACGAGUAUAGAUGUUGUCAUGCAAGGACUUUAGCAUUAGUAGUUCACUCUACUUAUUAGAGUAUAGUCCACUAGAUGACAUGCAUACUACUAGUAUAUCCAAUAACUCGUUUAGGACGCCGUUAGCGCCACACAGAUACAUCUUUUUAGUUCUAUGCCUAAAGAUAAGAACGUAGAGAGAAAUCACCCAUUUCGUGAGGUCAAACCCACCUACUAAUCGACGAUUCUCGUCGAUCUCGCGAUUGCAGGCAAUCCGAAGUCUCCAAGUCCCCUAACAACGAAUCAAAAAUCAGCUAAGAGCUUAUUUGAGAUACCUAUAGCAAAACCUCACCUCUUCACAUAAUAUGAACUAAAUUCUCACCUAGGUUUAGAUGAAAGCCAAGCCUUUACUUCAAUCCAGGUGGAAGCACCCCACAAUCAGCAUAAUCCAGCUCAAUUGAGUCCCAAAAUUCAGCUCAAAUGAGUCCCAACCCUGCUGUAAACAUAGUUCCAAAUCUGCACACUACCUCGCUAAUAGGCCUAAAUAGCAUAAGCAUAAUGCAAGUGGUGAACUAAUGUGACGCCCCAACUUCCCAGGGGGUCACCCAUCCUAGGACUACUCCCGUCCUAGCACGCUUAACUCUCUUAACCUCUUGGGUCUAGCCACCACCCAAAAUGCUUAAGCCGGGUUAAGAGUUUAGCCCUAUUAUAUCUUAUAUAUAGACUAUCUGGGGUCUCACAAUCUCCCCCCCUUUAAGCCCUGACGUCCUCGUCAGGCUCAGACUCACAAGUACCAGGCGAUGUGAGACUCAUCUCGCUAGCCCGUCAUCCAGACCCUGGCUCAGCCGAGACUCAUCUCACACUUCCGGCUGGUAAUUGGCUCUAAUACCAUCUGUAACGCCCCAGCUUCCCAGGGGGCCACCUAUCCUAGGACUACUCCCGUCCUAGCACGCUUAACUCUCUUAACCUCUUGGGAAGAUGAGAGAUAUAAGAUGAGGCUAGUAUAAAUUAAUAUGAGAUGGGUAUAUCUUUGAUAUAAGUAUUGAGCUUGCAUCCCCGUGUUCUAUUAUACUCUACUCAUAUGUUUCUAUGCUUAGUAUUCAUGUGUAGGGUGAGUAGUUAUCCAUAUGUGAUCCCGGUACCUGAUUGGUCGUUCCGUACUUUGUUUCGAUGACCUGAUUGGUCGGUUCUCGUACUUCGUUUCGGUGACCUAGUUGAUCGGUGCUUUUAUCUUAUAUCUGUUGACCUGGUUGUCGGUUGUUACACUAUGUAUUGGUUGGUUCUUCCUGAUUUCCGUCGUUUUGAUGACCUUUGAGCGUCGUGUACCCUGAGGGGUAGGAUUGUCGGCCAUGGCCGACGGUAGUGUAGAUUAUAUACUCAGAUGACUUGUUUGAUCGUUCUUGCAUAAUACAGUAGUUGACCUAUUGAUCAGUAUCUACAUACUUUUGGUAGAAUGUUGAGUUGUUCCAUCCGCAGUUGACUUGAUUAGUCGAGUACUUGCAUACAUGUGAGGAGGAUGAGAGUCGUUCCAUCCUAGUUGACCUGAGUGGUCGGUUCUUGUGCUUUCUUUAUAGUUGAUGACCUAUUGUCGGGUUUCCCGGGCGGUGAUUGUCGCUGAGUUGCCGCAUUUGGCUAUUGAUCAUAUCCCGCAUUGAUCGCCACAGCUCGAGUGCAUUUCACGUACACAGCGGGUUGAUCCCCGCGCAGGAGGGUGUUCUUUUCCGAAAAGUGGUCGUACAUCCCCCGUGAGCCCAGCGGUGUUCUCUUUGUGCUAGGUUACAUGCCAGGUGUGAGCAGAUAGUGCGUUUUGCCUGAGUCCUUAGACCGACACGGGCGGUUUAGAUUGGGUACUUUUGGACUUCUCGUCCAGUUGUACGCAUAUAGCUAUAGUAGCGGUUGUUGCAUAUAUACUUCUAGUUCUUUCCUUACAGUUGUCUUGCUACUAUAGUUUUGAAUAUCCUUGUAUGCUUGCAGUUGUACAUUACAGUACGCGUAGUUGUGUUUAUAUAUAUAUAUAUAUAUAUCUUGUUCGUUCAUUAUCGUACUACUGUAUUUUACUUACUAUACUGUUGUUUAUCUCUUCCUGAUCCGGUGAGUACUCCUCGCCUUCUUCGCUUGCGGUACCCACUGGAGGGGAGACAUGUUUACAUGUUCUCACCUCCCCACUAAUUUUUCAGGUAUUACAGGCGUUGAGUUUUGGGACGAGACGUGAGGUAUGUUCGUAGCGGUCGAUAGAGCUUCCGACACAGGUUAUCGGUUUAGUUUUAGCCCUACUAUUCUGUUGUGAUAGCUUAGUCAGUUUAUAUGGUUCAGUAUUUUUAUUACAUUGGAAUAUGUGGA
rnacentral:lncRNA from 1 species